UGGCCUUCUCGCGGCUUUCCCCCGAUAUCUCUCUUUAUUCCAGCUGCCUGAAACUCGGUCCCACGAAUGGCAGGCAGCGUCCAAAAUUCAACCCCGUAAAGCCAGCACCAGCCAAUAAAGCGCACGGAUGGAGGCCACGUGACAGCAGUGGGCCGGCCCUCCGGCUGAGCCCUGAUCUCUAUGGUUUCCGCGGCUCGCUAGAAGGAGUGUGGUCCACCGGAGGACUCCCUACAUUCUUCCUCCAUUACCUCACUGCCUCCGGUGGCUGCUGGGAUACCGGAGGACUCGGGUCCCGGCUCGACUCAGUCCUCCAGCCGCCCGGGGAAUACCUCUAGUUCUUCCCGGCCGCCGCCGCCGCCGCCGCCCCGCCGCUUCCUCCUCCGCCUGCCGGCCUCCUUCGCCCCGUCCCGUCCGCGCAGCGCGUCCGGCCCGCCCGCAGGCCAGCUUCUCUCGGGAGCCCCCACCCAGGCGCAUGGCUCCAUGAAGCAAGAGGAGGAGGCAGAGCGCGAGAGGUCCCGUCCGCCCCAGCCGCGUCUGGGCCAGGAUAAAAGCAAAACCAUAUUCCUGCUGCUGUCAGUUAUGAUGCACUGAGAAAACUUCAGAGACCUAAACUUUUUCCAGAGAAGAGAAGCUUUACUGGUGUUCCAGCCCUAAGAAACUUAAAUCCUCAGUGUGACACAACUCAGUCCUUCUACUGCAGCAGCUCUUUUAUAAAAGCCUCCCAAAGCUCCAAGAAGGAACAAAGAAUGUGACCCAGUAAGCUCACACCAUAAAUCUAUAUUGCAGAAACCUUUGUUCAAGAAAACGGCAGAUGCUCUGUUGAAUCCACUGGAGAUUGUUCUGAUACUAAGGACAAGUAUCAACCAUCUUUCCUGUGAAAAAUUCCCUCUCGUACUUUAGUUCUGUGGAUCCAAAAUUUAUAGCAUUCUUCUACCACCACAGGGGCUCAUAUGACAUUAACAGACAAGACACUUUUCAGAAAGACAGGGCCCUGCUAAGGAGUUUCAAUCUGCUUCAUGGACGUUCAACCUGCCUCUCCCCUUGUCUGGAAUGAUCUUCCUCUGAUGUUCCAUCCACCUUACUUUUUCUGAUCUCUUUAUUCAGUGUAGCUUUCAAUUCACCUCAAGCAACGUGUUGGACCUUCCGGAGCUUCUCAGAAGACAGAGGGUUUUCUUUUGAGGUAAAUUUGAUAGUACAUUUUGAUAGUACGGGAGGCGAUACGGCAUGGUGACAGAAAAGCGCCGGCUUGGUUAGCAGGACCACCUGGCAGGGCUGCAGGCUGUGCCACUUACCAGGCAGGGGACCUUGGGCCAGCUGCUUGGCCUCACUCACCCUGUUUCUCAGCUGCAAUUGGGAUGAACAGACUGCCUGCUUCGGGGUUGCCUAAAACUCACAUUGGUUAAUGAUGUGAAAUGCUUAGCGCAGUGCCUGGCAUAGAGAGAAUUCUCAUUAGAUGAUACCUCAGCUGGGCUUUAGGAGCUACAGAAGAAGCUGCAUCUCCAUGAGCUCAGCGUGUUUCUAGCUUUCCUUUUUGUUUUCUAUUCAACCUUUCACCCAACUCAGCUUCUCAAUCCCUAAAUGACAAAGGUUUGGGAAGGAAGACUUGGACCGAGGCUUGCAUUUGUUUCUGAGAAUUAAACGUUAUGUUUUCUUCAAUCUAAAUAGGUUUGCUUGUACAGCCUUGUUGAAUGGUUUUUUUUUUUUUUCUCCAUGAUAAAUGACUCUCAACUUCUUUUCCCUCAUCUAAUUGCUUAUCUACAUACAAUGCCUGGAAGGAAAUAAAUGUAAUGGCCCGUAGCAACUGGCCUUCAGGUAUCAAGUUUAAGUCCCUUUAAGCAGAACAGCAAAUUGAGCACAGAAUGAACUGGUUUCAUGGUAGCGUACUGCAAUUAGAUGCAAGAAUAGGGAAAGCAGGGUGCUUCAAGUGGUGACACAAUUAGUAUAGCACUGAGGGACUUCUCUUUCCACUUCUUCAACUCCGCCUGCAUUCCGCUGGCUGAAGAGUUGAUGACAUCCCUGAAAAAUCUUCCCUCUCUUGUUUCUCUGAUGCCACCUCUGUGUUCUCCGCCUCACUGGCCACACUUCCUUUACCUCCCAAACUUUUAACUCUGAGUGUCCCAAACUUGUCUCAUCACCUACCCCUGCUGCCCAGCUCCCCAGCCUGUUCCCCUUCUGACACGGGCACUCUCCUUCUGCUCUCUUGGGAGAGAAACAAUGAAGGCCUAUUUGGCACUUUUAUUUCUAUUCAAGGAACCAGACUGUGAACAAGUUUACCAUUUAGUCCUUUGGACUGUGUCUUGAAUUCAUCCCUCUUCUCCAUUCUCACCAGCACCAUCAUCAUGAUGGCUAAUAUUUCCUGAGCACCUUUCAUUCAGGCAUGAUGCCAGGUGCACCAACUUACUUAAUCCUCAUAGCCACCACCUGAGCAAGCUCCUGUUUUAUAAAUGGACCAGUUCUUGUUGCUGUUGUACAAGUUAUUUUCUUUCUAUAACGUCCUCCUUGUCCUCCUUCCACAUUCUUAAAGAAACUUUCCCUUCCUUUAAAGUACUCAGGGAGCCCUGCAUUGCUUCUUGAAGCCUUCUCCAGCUUCAUCAUCUCACAGUGGUCUCUCUUUUCACUAAAUGUCCAAUAUGCUGCACAUAAGUACCCCAAAGUUAGCACAGAAUUGUUCCAUGGCUGUCAUAUAUGUUAAAAAUCAUUAAAAGUUCAUUUUUUCUCCCAUUAUGGGAAGGAUACAUGCUCCUACUAGUAAAUUUAGUUGGUAGAAAAAAAUUAUCACUAUCUAGACUGCUUUCCCUUUAGUCUUUAUGCAUAGCUUUCUGUCUGCCUAUUUUUACUUUGUGUUUGUAACUUACUAUUAUAAAAUAUGCAUCUCUAUGUUCAUUGUCAACAUUAUUUACAAUAACAUGGAGUGGAUUUACAUGUAUUCUCUAUAUUUGGAUUAAAGGAGAUAGAGUAUGUGAAAUUAAAUGGGAGAAGUAUCUGAUACAUAACAGGCAAUACAAAUAUUAUCACAUAGCGUCAAUUUAUUUGUGAAUAUUGAAAGCUCCA
rnacentral:lncRNA from 1 species